GCACAUGAAACUUUCUGGAGAUAAUAACAUCCUAUAAGCUAUAAUCAGAAUUGUCCAUAAAAAUCCAGCAAUUGGGAGUUUGUUUGACACUGUAAAUGUUUAUUUAAUUUUUGACCUUUUCAUAUACAUGCAAAUUCCAUUCUUCUAUAAUCAUUGCAUGAUUUGAACUUUGUACUGGGAAAAGAUAUAUGUGUGCAUGUAUGUUCACAAAAAGCUAGUGUUUGAUAUAUUUAAUAAUCUUGAACAAAAUAGUGAAAA
rnacentral:lncRNA from 1 species